rnacentral:rRNA from 1 species
UACAGAGACUGCAAGCGUUAUUCGGAUUCACUGGGCGUAAAGGGUGCGCAGGCGGCCGGGUGUGUGAGGCGUGAAAGCCCGAUGCUUAACAUCGGAAUUGCACCUCGAACUACACGGCUAGAGCAUUGGAGAGGGUAGCGGAAUUCACGGUGUAGCAGUGAAAUGCGUAGAUAUCGUGAGGAACACCAGAGGCGAAGGCGGCUACCUGGACAAUUGCUGACGCUCAGGCACGAAAGCGUGGGGAGCAAAAGGG